CUGGCUACGUAGCUCAGUUGGUUAGAGCACAUCACUCAUAAUGAUGGGGCACCGGUUUUUGAUACCGGCAUUCCCUGGUUCGAAUCCAGGUACCCCAGCCA
rnacentral:tRNA from 1 species